UUUUUUUUUUUUUUUUUUGCUCUUGCUUGCUACAUUUUCUAAAAAUCUACUUACUAAUCACUGUAGUUCAUUCACACACACACACAAAAUAGACGUUCUUCCUCCCUGGACACAAACAUGCAAACGCUGCCAAACACACGGAGCUGACAUAAUUGGCUGAAAAUGAAUGGGAAUUUUUUCAAAUUAAAGUUUAAUAACACAAGCGGAACAUGAAUACAUUCUCCUUUUUAAAAAAUAGAACAUUGCAGAUGAUGCCGAAGUCCCUUUUGGCCACCCACUGCCAUCCCAUUUCCUCCCUCCUCCCCAGAGGUAACCACCGUAAUGGGUUCACUGUGCACUUUGCUAGACUUUCUAAAAACUUCUAAAUUCACGGGUAGGUACCCACAGGAAAUAUAUGUGAUAGCUGUCUCAAAUAAUGAGAAUUGUGUCUUUUUCUUUCCAGUUUUCAUUGAUAUUCAAUUUUUGUAGUGACCUGGAUUUUAUUAUGGUGAAGGAAUAAAAUGUCAGUGUUAUCACCUGUCACAAUGUGAAAGGAAAGAUGUAGAAGUCAGAAGACAGCCCUGGAGGGGGACCUGGGGGUGAGGGCUGAUGGGAAUGAUGAGGGGAGGCAAGAGCUUCUGUGGGCAUGCAGUGGAUCAAGGCGUGAAGGGGCACGUGGAUUUCUCAAAAUUGAAAAGAUAACUAGUAGAGGUACUUUAAAAUUGUUGGGAGAAUCAGGGAUGGAAGGAGUAUUCUCCAAGUGUCCUAAAGCCUAAUCUUCCAGUUGGGACAUCAGUGGAUCUCAUGAACUAGAAAUAGAGGGUAGCAGAUGCUGUUCAGAGAACUCCUGUGACCCAAUUUUGUCUAGGGUCUUAAAAGGAAACUUUUUCUGGUAGUGUCAAGGAAGCAUUUUAUUCUCUGAUUAAGGUGAUGCACCGGAGAGCUUUCUUGGCCCUGCCCCUUCCCUUCUGCCUAGGUGAUGUUGGGUGAAACUGUGAUGCAUGGAGGGGCACCUUGAGUGCUCAGUCACUUAAGCGUCCAACUCUUGAUUUUGGCUGAGAUCAUGAUCUCAGGGUAAUGAGGUUGAGCCCUGCAUCAUUGGACUCCAUGCUGAGGGGAGCCAGCUUGAGAUUCUCUCUCUCCCUCUACCCCUCCUCUCCCUCUCUCCCCCCUUCCCCUCUCCCCCUCUCUAGAAAGAAAA
rnacentral:lncRNA from 1 species